rnacentral:rRNA from 1 species
UACAGAGGUCCCAAGCGUUGUUCGGAUUCACUGGGCGUAAAGGGUGCGUAGGUGGUGAGGUAAGUCGGAUGUGAAAGCUCCGAGCUCAACUCGGAAAUGGCAUUGGAAACUACCUUGCUGGAGGGUUUGAGGGGGACUGGAAUACUUGGUGUAGCAGUGAAAUGCGUAGAUAUCAAGUAGAACACCAGUGGCGAAGGCAGA